rnacentral:lncRNA from 1 species
AUGCAAUUAAGCUAAUAUCCGCUGAAAACUCAAGAACAUCGCGUAGCAAUUCUCCUCUGUCUCUUUUAUGUACAAUUGAUUUUUCCUUCUCUAUUGAACUAUUCCCCAAAGUAUGUAAUUUUACCCCAUUUAAAAAUAUAUAUAAUAUGUGUGUGUGUAUACAUACAUACAUAUAUAUAAAUAUAUAUAUAUAUAAUCAGCUAUAUAAUUUGUGUGUUCUUUUUGUUGUUGUUGUUUGUUUGUUUGAGACAGGAUCUCAGUCUGUCACCAAGGCUGGAGUGCAAUGGUGCAAUCAUGGCUCACUGUAGCCUCAACCUCAUGGGCUCCAGCAAUGCUCCUACCUCAAAAGGAUACCAGUCCUCCAGGCAGACAUCAGGCCCCAGGCGGACACUGGACUCAAGCUCCUGCUCCAUAUGCAGCAAUACAGGAAAUUCCAGUGCCAGCUGUUGAGCCAGUGCCAGCGCCAGGGGAAGAGCCCCCUCCAGGGACAGCGCUGGAACUAGAGGCAGCUCCAGAGUCUUCCUGCCCCUGCCCUGGUACAGCCAAGGACCAGCCCAGGGAGGAGCUUCCUGACAUCAUGGAACCUGCUGUGGCCACUGGCAUUAGCCCUGGAGCUGAAAGCGUGCUAUGCUAUUCUAAUAUGUACAAGAGUAAAAAUAAGAUUGGCAGCUGCGGGGAGAUGCGGGCAAAAGAGCAUCAGUGAGAGGUAAGCAAGUCUCAAAUUUAUGAUGUGAUCAAUUCAGAAAAAAAUAUAAAACUAACAUGA